GAUGAACGCUAGCUACAGGCUUAACACAUGCAAGUCGAGGGGUAACGAGAGGAAAGCUUGCUUUCCUUGUCGACGACCGGCGCACGGGUGAGUAACGCGUAUCCAACCUGCCCCCAACUAGGGAAUAACCUUGCGAAAGUAAGACUAAUACCCUAUAAUUUCCUCAGAUGUCAUCUUACGAGGAAUAAAGAUUUAUCGGUUGUGGAUGGGGAUGCGGCUGAUUAGCUUGUUGGCGGGGUAACGGACCACCAAGGCAACGAUCAGUAGGGGUUCUGAGAGGAAGGUCCCCCACAUUGGAACUGAGACACGGUCCAAACUCCUACGGGAGGCAGCAGUGAGGAAUAUUGGUCAAUGGGCGGAAGCCUGAACCAGCCAAGUAGCGUGCAGGAUGACGGCCCUAUGGGUUGUAAACUGCUUUUAUACAGGAAUAAAGUUAGCCACGUGUGGUUAUUUGUAGGUACUGUAUGAAUAAGGACCGGCUAAUUCCGUGCCAGCAGCCGCGGUAA
rnacentral:rRNA from 1 species